CACCAGGCACCGCAGCCACUUCCGCCCGUCCUCCGGAAGUAGGUCCCGGGUUACCGCUGGCUCCCCACAUUCCACCCCUUCGCCUGGUCCUCGCCCGCCCAUCACCACCGCCGCCACGGGAGCACGGGAGGUCCUGACAUCACCUGGGACUGGAUCCUGGUAUCCUGUGACUUUACAAGAUGUUGCCGAAGAGAAAUAGGUGAAAGGUCCACAGGAUCUCUCAUCUCGUGUGAAAUGUAGUCUCACAUCUACCUGUAUGUGAAUCUAUAUAAGCUUAAGUGAAAACAAAAGCUUAAGUCCUUGGUUCCAUGCUUAUGGCCUAGAAUUAAGCCAUAAGACUAAAAAAUAAAAGAUAAAAAAUGUCAUUAGUGAUAACUUAGAGUGUAACAACUUCGACCAUCCACAUGACAACAGUGUGCUGACAUAGCAGAGCAAUUAUUUAAAUGACUUAAGCAGAGGCAUGCCAGGCAUGCCUGAACCAUGACACAGGGAUGAUAAAAAGUAGUUUUCUCUUUAAAUAAACAUCUAUAUAAUAUA